GACGAACGCUGGCGGCGUGCCUAAUACAUGCAAGUAGAACGCUCAAGCUUGGUGCUUGCCUCGAGCGGAUGAGUUGCGAACGGGUGAGUAACGCGUAGGUAACCUGCCUGGUAGCGUGGGAUAACUUUUGGAAACGAUAGCUAAUACCGCAUAAGAGUAGAUCUUGCAUGACCUUUGCUUAAAAGGUGCAAUUGCAUCACUACCAGAUGGACCCGCGUUGUAUUAGCUAGUUGGUGAGGUAACGGCUCACCCAGGCAACGAUACAUAGCCGGCCUUAGAGGGUGAUCAGCCACACUGGGACUGGGGAACGGCUCCGGCCGCUACGGGGGGCAGCAGAAGGGAAUCAUUGGGAAUGGAGGGAAAGCUGACCGAGAAACCCCCCGGGGAGGAAUAAGGAUUUCGGAUCGUCAAAGCCGUUUGUAAGGGAAGAACGAGGGGGAGAGUGGAACGUUCACACUGUGACGGUACCUUACCAGAAAGGCACGGCUAACUACGUG
rnacentral:rRNA from 1 species